rnacentral:rRNA from 1 species
AGUGAACGCUGGCGGUAGGCCUAACACAUGCAAGUCGAACGGCAGCACAGGAGAGCUUGCUCUCUGGGUGGCGAGUGGCGGACGGGUGAGGAAUACAUCGGAAUCUACUUUUUCGUGGGGGAUAACGUAGGGAAACUUACGCUAAUACCGCAUACGACCUACGGGUGAAAGCAGGGGACCUUCGGGCCUUGCGCGAUUGAAUGAGCCGGUGUCGGAUUAGCUAGUUGGCGGGGUAAAGGCCCACCAAGGCGACGAUCCGUAGCUGGUCUGAGAGGAUGAUCAGCCACACUGGAACUGAGACACGGUCCAGACUCCUACGGGAGGCAGCAGUGGGGAAUAUUGGACAAUGGGCGCAAGCCUGAUCCAGCCAUACCGCGUGGGUGAAGAAGGCCUUCGGGUUGUAAAGCCCUUUUGUUGGGAAAGAAAUCCAUCUGGUUAAUACCCGGGUGGGAUGACGGUACCCAAAGAAUAAGCACCGGCUAACUUCGUGCCAGCCGCCGCAGUAA